rnacentral:rRNA from 1 species
UUAGAUACCCUAUUAUUUUUAUUAUAAAUUUAGAAAAUUAAGCUUGAGUAUUAAUAGUUAUGGUCUUUAAACUUAAAGAAUUUGGCGGUAUUAUAAUCUGUUUAGAGGAAUCUGUUAUGUAAUUGAUAAUCCACAUUGAACCUUACUUAUAUAAUUUCUUGUAUACCGCUGUUUAAGAAUAUAUUUUUAGAUAAUUUUCUUAAUAUUAAAAUUGUUAUAGUAUUUCAAGUCAAGGUGCAGUUAUAUAUAAGUUGAAUAAUGGAUUACAAUAAAUUUUAUUUAUUAUGAAUUAUUUAUUGAAAUAUAAUUUGAAGGUGGAUUUAAUUGUAAUUUUAUGAAGAUUGUUAAAAUGAUAAUGGCUCUAUAAUGUGUACACAUCGCCC